rnacentral:rRNA from 1 species
AUACCAAGUGAUUAAGUUAUAUUUCUAGGUAAAAAGACAGUUAGGCUUAAAAUAUAAGUUUAUUGACCAUUUAUGUAAAAGUAAAAUUUGUAUAUAAAUAGCUAAUCUAAUAAUAACUAACUUAUUGCUGAGGCUGUGAUAGUCUUGAGGGAAACUGGGAUUAGAUACCCCAUUAUUCUUGACUGUAAAUAUAAUUAAAUUUACCAGAGUACUAUGAAUAGUAAAAAUUUAAAACUCAAAGGGCUUGGCGGUGUUUUAGACCUAUCAGGGGAACCUGUCUCAUAAUCGACAAUCCACGUUGUACCUAACCUUAUUUUGUAUUCAGUUUGUAUACCGUCGUCGUCAGGUAACUUUUAAAAACAUAGAAGUUAGCAGUAAUAAUUUUUAAAUUUAGACGUCAGAUCAAGGUGCAGCCUAUAAUAAGGAGAGGAUGGGUUACAAUUAUUAAAGUUAUAAUUACGGAAGUUCAAAUGAAAUUUUGUUCAUAAGGAGGACUUGAAAGUAAAUUAAAUAUAUAAAUAUAUUGAAUAAGGCUCUG